GACGAACGCUGGCGGCGUGCCUAAUACAUGCAAGUCGAACGCAGUGGGGACGGGAGAGUAACACGUGGGUAACCUCCCAUCAGAGGGGAUAACACUUUGAAACAGGUUCUAAACCGAUACUGAUGGAUGGACCCGCGGUGCAUUAGCUAGUUGGUGAGGUAACGGCUCAACAAGGCCACGAUGCAUACCCAACCUGGGGGGGUGAACGGACAAGGUGUGGCAUGGACGCGGUCCAGACUCAUAAUGAGGGCAGCAGUAGGGAAUAUUCAGGUAAUGUCGCAACUCGGACCGGACAAAGCCCCAAGAGUAAAGAAGGUUUUCGGAUCGUAGAACUCUUUUGUUAGAGAAGCGAUAUCUAACCAGGAAAACACGGCUAACUAAGUAGCAGCAGCCGCGGUAAUAC
rnacentral:rRNA from 1 species